rnacentral:lncRNA from 1 species
UAGUGGUUGUUAGCUUCAAGUAUUAUGUGAGAGGUCUUGGGUUCAAAAUCCCUUGGCACCACAAAAUAAUUUUUGACCGUUACGACCCUUUUACUAAAAAUAGUGACACCACUCAUGAAAAAUCCUGCGUACGCCAGUGUUGAUUCUAACACAUGCAUAGAUUGAUAAUACUAUUUUUUAAUACUGUAAAGGUCAUCAAUGAAGAUUCAGACAACAUUGUCAUCAUUAAUUAUUAACAGAGGUUAAAAAAGAUAUAUAGGACAUGAUCAAAUUUUU